UUUGGACGUUUUGAUAUUAUUCAGCGCUUUUUGUUUAUGCUUCCAACACCGAUAAAAAGUUUGGCGACCUCAUUGUGACCUAAAAUUAAUACAGAUCAAUGAAAAAGAUCAAAGCGAUAUCUUAUUUAGUCAGCUCUACCAUUGUUAACAGCUAUUCGAAGGGGUAUACGAUUCACAUUAUUUUUAAUACCAGUAUUGGCUUCUUUACGGAUGAGAAGUUCAGCGACAUUCUUAUGACCUGAAAAAUAAUUUAGAUGGAUAAAAAAGAUCAAAUCAAUCUUCUAUUUGGUAAAGACAAGUAUUAGGGUGGCCCAAAGUGUACACUAUAUUCGAGUAUCCAAUGUAAAAUAUCCAAUUAUUACCAUUCUGAGCAGCUAUUAGAGCAGGUGUCUCAUUCGAAUUAUUUUUAACAUUAACAUUUGCUCCUUUACGGAUGAGAAGUUCAGCAACAUUCUUUUGACCUGAAAAAUAACACAGAUCGAUGAAAAAAAUAAAAUUAUUUUCCUAUUUAGUGAGAACAAAUAAUAAACAUUACCAUUCAAAGCAACUAAAUGAAGGGGUGUAUUAGUAAAGUUUGUGUUAGCGUUGGCAAAUAGAGCCAAAAAUGAAAAAAAUAGAAAAAUAUUCCAUUUUCAUUGAGAAUCAGUAUCGCUUUUAAGAAGAAGAAAGAUUGAAUAUUAGAUUAAGAAAGGUAACUAGUUAAUAGUUCCUGACUGUCAACGACAGCACAAUGUUUGGCGUGAUAAACGCCGACCUUAACAAUUAAGAUGUUCCUCAGAGAUUUUGAAUUUUUCUUUGUUUAUUUCUCGUCGAGCUUUUAAUUAAAAAAAAACGAUUGCAUUCCUUACAAUGAACGCAGCAAACGGAAGUAGAGAACAUGUGUAGUCCGCACUCGAUAGUACUGAUAUUGCAAAUAAGCGACUUAUUCAAAUGGAAUCUUUGAGUAAAUGAAAAAAAUCCAUAUUUAAGAAAAAAUGAAAAAUUUAGCAUUUUUGCGGACCUAAAAAUAGUUACGAUAAUAAUAAUCCGUUCUGAAUACUUUGUUCGACGGAGAGAGCAAAGCAAAAAAAUGCAAAAUUAAAAACGAAAAUAUCAGAACUUAGCUUAGCUGUAAGAAAUAUGUAAUAGAAAUAAAAUAAGCUGGGAUGCAGAAAAUGCUGAACGUCGUGAGGAUCAUCUUUUGGUGUUAAAGCUGCUGAAAACCCGUUACACUCAAGCUGACGACACUUCAGUACAAACAUCAUUUGAGCGCUCGCAGCGCCACGAACUCUCGUAUCAUUUUGUAUUGACUUUUCGAAAGUUCAUGAGUUCGCCGUAGACUUCGUCAAAACGUGUCGUCCCUUUGGUUACACUCUAUGUUACUGUGUAACCACUACAACUACAGCUACACUCUAAAGUACUUUGAAAGAUCAGUGCUUGUAUCUCCCAAUCUGCAAUGCAAUUGUUUCAAUCGCAUUCGAGUAAUGACCAAUAAAACAGCCCGCUGAAUCGAAUAGACCGAAGGCAAACUCAUUGAAUCCAAUGGACAAAAGGCAUAAAAAGCAAGUGGAACACUUGAAUUCAGACUCGAUCACAUUUCCUUCAUCGUUGCCCAUCAAAGUGAUGGAACGACUCAGGUGUGGAUCGAGAUACAAUAAAAAUGAUUGAAUCGAUAGUGUACAGACACUGGCUGGGUAUACCAAUGGACCCUCCUAAAUCGAUGAAAUGGCAUGCAAGAAUCCAAAAGCCAGCGAGUGUUCUGCAAUAGCUCGUAUACGAGUUAUGAUACUUCCCAUACUUACAAUCGGUUGGGUAUCGUAUGAAAAGCUCAAAAAAAGCUUUGAACAAAACAGAAAAUUCAAAGUCUAAGACCAAAGGAUUAAAAGCAAAACUUCAAUUUGAAAGCAAGGAGCAUUGAUUCGAGACGAUUUAUGGUAAUCAGAACAUGCUUCGGUCCACUCAAACUUCACUUGAAGCUCAAUUAAAAAAAAGAGUUGAUUACCACAAAAAUGAAACCUCAAACAGCCCUUUUGAAUGUGGCAACGUCUAACCAGGUGUGGCCUUUCUUAAAUCACGUUAAAUCAUCGAUUAAACCAAAUUAGUGACCGAACCAAACUGACCUUCGAACUCGAUAUUCAAACGGCAUUUCCGGUGAAAUUCAGCGAUUCAAUGGAUACUUUCUCAAAUUUUGGGAGAAAAACCAACAGGCAGAUAUACAAAAAAAAAUGCAUAGCAGCUCGUGUAACAGUCGUUAUGUCAACGCAGUCAUCAGACAUCACUACACAUGAUAAAUGACAAAGUCAUCAACGAAGGAUCUACCACCAUUUACAAGAAGCAAAUCAGCACCAAGUUAGUAAUUCCAACAUCAUUUAUAAACAUCAAAUUCAUCGAAUUCCACAUCGAAAUUCAACUCAAAUUAUUAUUCUUGAUGAUAGAACUCUAUGGUUCUAGAAAAAUGAUUGCGUUUGUUCAGAAAUAAACAAGAUAUCGCUCGUUUUAGCAUGGCUUAGUUUUGAAUAUAAAUGAGUUAAGUUUCGUUCAUCAUGAAUUUCGAAUAAUUGAAUAAUUCAGUAUAAAUACUGCGCAUAUAUGCUAGCGAUGUUUUAGAUGUGUAAUUUUUU